ACGGAGGAAGAAAUUUGGAAACACCUUCAUUAUUAGAAACAUCCAAGUAUGCAGCAACAGGAGAAAUCAAGGAAACAGAAGAACAAUCAAGAAUCAAAUACAAAACACAUAUAUUUUCAUAUAAUAGGUACAAUUCAAAAGUGUAAAUAUAAAUCGGUACACAGAAUUUAUAAUAAAUAAUUAGUCUUCCUG